rnacentral:lncRNA from 1 species
AACCAUAUUCAUUAACUCAGGUGGUUCCAUUGCAUGAGAUGGGUCAGCUUUUAAGAACUUCUCACCUUUCAAUGGUUACAACUUGUGUUUAAAGGUUAGCAUGUACGCUUCCUUGCUAUACCGCCAAUUGAAUUCCUUGAAAGGGUCUAGCUUCUUAUAUUGUAUGGACUUAAGGGCAUGGAGGCAUGGAAUUCUGGUAAGAUCCGAAGUUCUACCUGUGAAUUUAUUUAAAACCAUGUUAACAAUAUAUCUAGGUCAUCAUUGCAAUAAACAUGACACUUAUUAGCUAUCUUCAAGUACUUCUUGUACAAUUCCAAGCUAUAUAAGCGGAGUUUAUUUGUCCAUGACCUAACUGCUUCCUCUCUUUUCCUCAAUUGGUUCAUCACCUUAAUUCUUAUCUUCUCAAACAUUUUAAUGAUGGGUUUGUACCAAGCUUCAAGAACCCAUUUAUUGGCAGAUUUAAUGAAGUUAUUUUCUACUUUUUGGUUCUUGCACACAACGUUUAAAUAAGCUCUAUACCAAGCUUGAGUAGGAUACUUCAUCAAAUCUUCUACAGUUUUCUUAUCAAGUUCACCGAUGGACCUCAACUGGUCCUUGAAAUCUUCUUCACAAGAACUCCAGGCACUCCACUAUAACAACUUUUUGAACUCUGUUGUUCUCCAUUUUUUGCACCAAUUUGACUCAAUGUUCCUAACACAAAAUUUAUGAUGUGAAUAGGGAAGCAUACUGUUUACAAUCUCAUACUAAUCUUUAUCUAAUAUUAACGGAAUUCAAAUAAGCAAUUUUGAUUAAAAAGAUCAAAGAAGAAAAAGAUAUUACACAUAAAUUAUACCUUUUGCAUAUCUGACAUGAAGGUGGUACAUUCAUCCUCCUUGAGGUCUAGUGACCUUUGAAUCAAUUUCAAGAACCAAGUCCGUAAUCUUUUUGUUUCUUUAUCCACUACUCCCCAAGCUAUAGGAUAUAUUUGGUUAUUACCAUCCAGUCCAACAGCAAGUAACAUCUACCCUCUAGCGUUUCCUUUUUAAAAUGUUAAAUCUAAAUUAAAGCCUAUCUUGAGAUCUUGGAAACAAAUAUACAUUCUCAAAUUUUUUUACCUUCAACAAGUGCAUCCUUUGACAAUUUAAUGACAAUAUUACUCCUGGGUUAGUGUCCCUUAGCUCAUUGGCAUAUGCCUCAAAUUUUUAUAAUUAUCUGUAAAACUACUUUCCAACUUCUCCAAAUUCAAUCUUUUAGACCUCUUGCACUUUUCAUAGCUAACAUUUACAUUAACACAAUUGUUUCCGAUCUGCUCUCUUCUCAUUAAUCUUAUACUUAGAAUUUUCUUGCACUUUCUUCUUUAAGUAAUUUGUUAUUGUUUGAUAGUCAACCCUAGUGUUCUCAUGUGAUCGUUCACAUGUAUAUGCUCUUCUUUUAACGUCUUUAUCCUAACUCCAGGAAGGUCCCCAUCCCCAGAAAUCAGAACAACAAAAGGGCAGUUAUCAACACAUGUAUACCGUAACCUUUUUGUAUCAUUUUUCUCUACUUGU